rnacentral:rRNA from 1 species
GAUGAACGCUAGCGGCAGGCCUAAUACAUGCAAGUCGAACGGGAUCCAGAUCAAAGCUUGCUUUGGUCUGGUGAGAGUGGCGCACGGGUGCGUAACGCGUGAGCAACCUACCCUUGUCAGGGGGAUAGCCCGGCGAAAGUCGGAGUAAUACCGCAUGACAUCAUUGAGAGGCAUCUUUCUAUGAUCAAAGAUUUAUCGGACAAGGAUGGGCUCGCGUGACAUUAGCUAGUUGGUAAGGUAACGGCUUACCAAGGCUGCGAUGUCUAGGGGCUCUGAGAGGAGAAUCCCCCACACUGGUACUGAGAAACGGACCAGACUCCUACGGGAGGCAGCAGUAAGGAAUAUUGGUCAAUGGACGGAAGUCUGAACCAGCCAUGCCGCGUGCAGGAAGACGGCCCUAUGGGUUGUAAACUGCUUUUAUACGGGAACAAACGUCGGUACGUGUACCGGUCUGAGUGUACCGUAAGAAUAAGGAUCGGCUAACUCCGUG